GCCUUCUUAGCUCAGUGGUAGAGCGCAUCACUAGUAAUGAUGAGGUCGUAGGUUCGACUCCUGCAGGAGGCA
rfam:Sistotremastrum niveocremeum HHB9708 unplaced genomic scaffold SISNIscaffold_11, whole genome shotgun sequence.